rnacentral:misc_RNA from 1 species
AAGUCGUAACAAGGUUUCCGUAGGUGAACCUGCGGAAGGAUCAUUAUCGUGGGGCUUCGGCCCUGUCGAGAUAGAACCCUUGCCUUUUUCGAGUACCGUCCGUUUUCUCGGCAGGCCCGCCUGCCAAUGGGGACACAACCAAACCCUUUGUACCUGCAACAGUCUGAACAACAAACAAACAAUCAAAACUUUCAACAACGGAUCUCUUGGUUCUG